rnacentral:rRNA from 1 species
UACGUAGGGUGCUAGCGUUGUUCGGAAUCAUUGGGCGUAAAGCGCGUGUAGGUGGUUAACUAAGUCGGGCGUGAAAUCCCUAGGCUCAACCAAGGAAGUGCAUUCGAAACUAGUUAACUAGAAGAUGGUAGAGGAAGGUGGAAUUCCAGGUGUAGAGGUGAAAUUCGUAGAUAUCUGGAGGAAUACCGGUGGCGAAGGCGGCCUUCUGGACCAUACUUGACACUAAGACGCGAAAGCGUGGGUAGCAAACAGG